GGUCCGGUGUGCUCGCGCGGCUUGGCGGGAGUUGUAGUUUAAAGGUCACUGCCGUGAGUUCCGCAUCGGGGGCGGGGCUCCGGAUUGAAGGCGUGAGCGAACCGGGCUGACGACUCCGCAGGUUGUCGGUCCUCCCUUAUUGAGGUGUGGAGCGCCCAGAACGGGCUACCUGAGAACUGUAGGAGAGUCUUUUUGGAUCCUCAGCAUGUCCUACAGCAUUCCAGGAAAGAUGAUGGAGUGGUCAUGAAUCUCAAGACACUUUUUGCCUAGACUUUCCAGUUGUAAUUUAUACCUAAAAACAGUGGCUCCUUUUAGCAAGCAUCAUACUGCUAGUCAGCCUCGUUUUAGAAAUCCAGAUAUGGAAUGGAAAUUUUCUGUCUUCAUAUUCUCAAUAUCUGUGGUUGUUCUGGACUCCACUUCUCUGGGUAUCAAAGCUUCAGUGGAAGAAAGAUGGAUUCAGGGACAACAGUUGCAAGCAGCUUUUUUUCUCAAUCCUCUCUAAGCUAUUUCUUCCACCUCAUAUAAGCCUAUCCAAAGUUCUGGACAACCGAGCUUAUGGAAGACAUAUUUUAUACACUGACAUGAAGGUAUCCGGAUAGUUCUGAUGAUCUACUUCAGGAGUCGUAUUGAGGAGGUCUGUUCCUGAGCCAAUAUGAUGGAGAGUUGAGCCUACUUUUUCUUCUAGUAGGCGCAAGGUUUAAUGCCAAGGUCCUUGAUCCACUUUGAGAAUGACUUGCUUGAAAGCCUUCUGAUUGGGUUGGGGGAAUAAAGUUGCUGUGUGAAUUUCAAAGACCAGAAAAUGUAAAAAGGAGCAAACACUUGCUGAAGGCAUCAGAGAAGUGACUGCAAUCAAGCAGUGUUGGUGUGACCUUGAAGCUUCCUAGAAUAGAGGCCACAUUUGGAAUAAUGGAAGCUGUGCAUUCAAAUGCCUCUGGAUGACCUCACUAAUAGAAACCCCUUAUUCCUGCUGAGAUGUCUCUGGGCCUAAUACCAGUGUUUAGUCAUUCCUAGGAAUCCAGAAAAUCAGCCUUUUGUUUUUAUAAAUACAAAUGGAAUUAUGCCAUUGUUGAAUAUUACAUAACUGAUUUAAUCCUAAUGUGAUGUCAAAACAAAUUUCCUCAGCAGUUAAGGGAAUGCCUUAUCUACCACAGAUUGCUUUGCAGAUCCCAUGUAUGUACUCUUCCAACAAAUUAUUGGGCAGUUCUGUUCAUGAACUUUCACAAUUCUCCAUCCCAGAUAUUUCCGAGGGGUAAUUAAAAUGAUCUUUUCAUAAAGGCAGUAUGAAGCAGUAUGCAUCAUCUCUACACACUGAGCUGAAAAAUAUUGUAUUCAUAAAUUAAAUUGGACAUUUUGAAAGGUUAACACAAAAAGCUACUUUGCUCUUGGUAAUCAAUAAGGAAAAAAGGAUUUCAGGUAAUUAAAAUCUGUGAAGUGAACAUUUCUCAUUUGGAAUCUAUUAAAGGAAUAUAAGCAGACAGAGGCAAGAGAUAAAUAUGAAAACAAGUGAAUAAAAAUGUUUCGUUAUAUGUUGGCAAGGGAAUAUAAUGACAUAUGGGGCCUGAAAUAAUAUAACAUGUUGUUAUAGAUAGUAUAACAUUUAAAUUAUAUGGUAUGUAUAUAAGUUAUGCAUGUACAUUACUUAAUUUAAGCAUUAGACUGUAAUUUUUAAAAAUAUGCCUGUUCUAUAUGAUAGACCAGAGUUUAUGUGUUGUUUAAGUCUUUCCAACUGAAUGCUUGGUAUAGAAACCAGCAUGGCUACUUGUUAGAAAUGCAGAAUUCCAAACCCAUACCAGGUGAAUCAAAAUCUGUAGUUUAACAAGUUCUAUGGGUGAUUUAUAAGCACAUUAAAGUUUGAAAAGCAUGGUUUUGGGUGGUUGCCCCACAGAAAGUUAAGUUGCCUCUGAAAAAGUCAGCUAUACUUCCUUCUUAGGGCCCAAAUCAGUAAUUUUGUGGCUAAAUGUGAGGGCAAUAACUGAAUCUACAGAAGUUGUAACAGUCAAUGUAUGUGUUAGAGCAUCUGACUUUCUAUAAUGCACCAACUAAAGGAAACACUGAGGGGCAUGCAGACUCCAUGCUCAACACCACUGGCUUUUGAGUCCUUGUUGCACAACCUUUCCUUUGGUCUACUGGCAAUGUUCUUUCCUCUUACCUGUCAAAGUUUGAUCUUUGCUUCCAGGGUGCAGUUUUUUUGUUUUUGUUUUUUCUUAACCCAAACUCAGCUUCUUUGGAACAUCCAGCCUAUUGACGUCUCCAGGGACAGUUGAAGGGUUGACUCUCUUUGGGGUCAAUUUUAAGCUAAGAGCACUUCUGGUCAGAAAGCACCUUUAAACUGGCUCUGUGGUGCAAUGGAUACUGCAUAGGUCUCCUAAUCAACCACAAUGUGGUCAUUAAAAAAAAAAAAAAGAGCCAGGCAUGGCAGUGCACACUUGUAAUCCCAGCUACUUAGGGGCGAGGCUGGGCAACUUGUUGAGAACUUGUGUCAAAAUAAUGAUAAUAAUAAUAACAAAGGCUGCAGAUAUAACUCAAUGGUAGAGUACCUCUGUGAUCUAUCUCUAGGACUGAAGAAAAAGAAAGAAGAGAGAAGAAGAAAAAGAAAGAAAAGCAACAAUAAAGCACUUCUGGGUGACUGUCUCUCACACCAAUGCUUAGUGUUAAAAUAAACCAAAACUGCAUGUUCUC